GAUGAACGCUGGCGGCGUGCCUAAUACAUGCAAGUCGAGCGAAGCGGGGACGGGUGAGUAACACGUGGAUAACCUCCUAUAAGACUGGGAUAACUUCGGGAAACCUGAGCUAACCCCAAUACUUCUCGAUUGAUCCGCGUUGCAUUAGCUAGUUGGUAAGGUAACGGCUUACCAAGGCUACGAUGCCUAGCCUACCUGAGAGGGUGAUCGGCCACACUGGAACUGAGACAAGGUCCAGAAGCCUACGGGAGGCAGCAGUAGGGAAUCUGCCGGAAUGGGCGAAAGCCUGACGGAGCAACGCCGCGUGAGUGAUGAAGGUCUUCGGAUCGUAAAGCUCUGUUAUUAGGGAAGCGGGACCUAAUCAGAAAGCAACGGCUAACUACGUGCCAGCAGCCGCGGUAAUUC
rnacentral:rRNA from 1 species